UGCCUCUCACAACAUGUCUGCCAUGCACGG
rnacentral:piRNA from 1 species